CAUCACUCAACAGAAGACAACCACACAACCCAACCACAAUGUGCCUGCACCACUCUCCAAGUCAUACUAACUAGUAUUGGUAACUAACAUCUCUCUAAAUGCAGCUCACUGAUUGUGGAAUAUAAAGUGAACAGGUUAAGGUGAAGCUGUGGGACUGUUGUCAAGGUGAAGCUGUGGGACUGUUGUCAAGGUGAAGCUGUGGGACUGUUGUCAAGGUGAAGCUGUGGGACUGUUGUCAAGGUGAAGCUGUGGGACUGUUUUCAAGGUGAAGAUGUGGGACUGUUUUCAAGGUGAAGAUGUGGGACUGUUUACUAGGUCAAGGUGAAGCUGUGGGACUGUUUACUAGGUCAAGGUGAAGCUGUGGGACUUUUGUCAAGGUGAAGCUGUGGGACUGUUGUCAAGGUGAAGCUGUGGGACUGUUGUCAAGGUGAAGCUGUGGGACUGUUGUCAAGGUGAAGCUGUGGGACUGUUGUCAAGGUGAAGCUGUGGGACUGUUUACUAGGUCAAGGUGAAGCUGUGGGACUGUUGUCAAGGUGAAGCUGUGGGACUGUUGUCAAGGUGAAGCUGUGGGACUGUUGUCAAGGUGAAGCUGUGGGACUGUUGUCAAGGUGAAGCUGUGGGACUGUUGUCAAGGUGAAGCUGUGGGACUGUUGUCAAGGUGAAGCUGUGGGACUGUUGUCAAGGUGAAGCUGUGGGACUGUUGUCAAGGUGAAGCUGUGGGACUGUUGUCAAGGUGAAGCUGUGGGACUGUUGUCAAGGUGAAGCUGUGGGACUGUUGUCAAGGUGAAGCUGUGGGACUAUUGUCAAGGUGGGGCUGUUGUCAAGGUGACGCUGUGGGACUGUUGUCAAGUUGAAGCUGUGAGCCUGUCUUUGUUUACUGACGUCUUAAUGGGAUGUAUGAUCAUGUCGUUAAUUUUUUUAAUUGACAUUAAAAAUAAACAUUUUAAUGUGUAUUUUUAAUGAGACAGGAAGUGACCAGUAAAGAAUGCUGCU